rnacentral:misc_RNA from 1 species
GAUGAAGAACGUAGCGAAAUGCGAUACUUGGUGUGAAUUGCAGAAUCCCGUGAACCAUCGAGUCUUUGAACGCAAGUUGCGCCCGAAGCCAUCAGGUUGAGGGCACGUCUGCCUGGGCGUCACAUAUCGUUGCUCGAUGCCUAUCGCAUUGCGAUAGGACUUAGGGCGAAUGAUGGCUUCCCGUGAGCGUUGUUGCCUCGCGGUUGGUUGAAAAUCGAGUGCAUGGUGUCGGGUGUACCAUGAUGGAUGGUGGUUGAGUGAUGAUGCUCGAGACCAAUCAUGGGUAACUCCACCAGAAUUGGGCUCGGCGACCCACAUGCGUCCCUUGGAUGCUCCCUAAGGAGACCUCAGGUCAGGCGGGGCUACCCGCUGAGUUUAAGCAUAUCAAUAAGCGGAGGA